rnacentral:tRNA from 1 species
GUAGUGGUGGUUCAGUGGUAGAAUUCUCGCCUUCCAUGCAGGAGACCCAGGUUUGAUUCCUAGCCAACGCA